rnacentral:misc_RNA from 1 species
UCGUAUAACGGGUGCCAGGGCUGUCGCUAACUUUGUGCACGCCCUGGUGCUCUCUUACAAUCCAUCUCACCCCUUUGUGCAUCACCGCGUGGGUGCUCUCCUUUUGGUUCAUUCUGAAAGAGGGGGCAUUUGCGCUUUUAUAUAGACUCACUGUAUGUGUAGAAUGUCUUUACUAUUUGCGAUAAUAUGCAAUUAAUA